rnacentral:rRNA from 1 species
GACGAACGCUGGCGGCGUGCUUAACACAUGCAAGUCGAACGAAGAGCGAUGGAAGCUUGCUUCUAUCAAUCUUAGUGGCGAACGGGUGAGUAACGCGUAAUCAACCUGCCCUUCAGAGGGGGACAACAGUUGGAAACGACUGCUAAUACCGCAUACGAUCUAAACUCGGCAUCGAGGAUAGAUGAAAGGUGGCCUCUACAUGUAAGCUAUCACUGAAGGAGGGGAUUGCGUCUGAUUAGCUAGUUGGAGGGGUAACGGCCCACCAAGGCGAUGAUCAGCAGCCGGUCUGAGAGGAUGAACGGCCACAUUGGGACUGAGACACGGCCCAGACUCCUACGGGAGGCAGCAGUGGGGAAUCUUCCGCAAUGGACGAAAGUCUGACGGAGCAACGCCGCGUGAGUGAUGACGGCCUUCGGGUUGUAAAGCUCUGUUAAUCGGGACGAAAGGCCUUCUUGCGAAUAGUGAGAAGGAUUGACGGUACCGGAAUAGAAAGCCACGGCUAACUACGUG